AGGAAAGAUACUAAAAAGUCAUGCAACAUAAAUGAAGAGGUGCCAGGGGAAAAAGAGAAUAUGAAAGCAAUAGGAUAGACACCUAAAUGUGUCAGAGAAUGUGGAAAUAAAAUUUUUAUACAGAAGAAAGAAAAGUUUUUCUAAACUUAAGCCUCAAAUUCAAGCCUGAUCUUUGACAAAUUUCAGGAAAUGGAUGCAUUCAUCUGCUUAAUAUACAGUGGUGACAGCUAAAAGCCAGUUCAUUAAAAAUGCCUUCUGUUAGACUAAACUUCUUUUUCAUACAUAAAGCCAGGGUAAGUGCUAUGUCUGAAUCUUGACAAACAACCAGCUGUUUAAAAUUUUUUAAGGCAAAUAGAGAAUUAGUUAUACAAUUUUUUACAUUCAUAACUGGUUAAAAAAUUGAAAAUCAUCCAUUAAGAUGUAUGAAAUAGCCUUAUUGUUACCAGUCUAAAAUGAAGAUAUCAAAGUAAAAUUGCCAUAUUUUUGAAUUGAUACAUAAAAAUAGGAGAGAGGCUUACAUAUUAAAUGAGUAGAAUUCAAAAGAUACAUUAAGUAGAAAAAAGCUUAAAAUGCAUCAGGGAUAAAUAUAUAAUGUUUAAAAAGUAGGAAUCAGAGUUGCAACUCAGUGGUAGAGUGAAUGCUUAGCACGCACAAGGCCCUAGGUUCAAUUCCCAAAGCACAAAUUAUAUAAACUAUUUCAUUAGAAUUAUAAACAUAUAUUAAUAAUGGCUAUAUAUGUGUAUGAUAAGUAUGCCCAUAUUUUAUUGGCAUUUAAACAUAUAUCCAUAAGCACAGGGUAGAAGAAACAUGACUUGUUAUCACCAUCUAUAAACAAAGAAAGAUUGGCAUAAAAUAGCAGUGAAAUGUGGUUUCCUUUAAAUGUCAUAAUGAUUUUAUUUUCAUAGAAUUUUGAUGAUUUUGAUGAGGCAGGUCUUCUGUGUUUCUCUCCUGUAGUCAUGCCAGACUACAUAUGAUUUUAUUUUCACACACCUCAGGGUUAAAAAGGUGUCCCUGGACUAUGUUCUCCAGGGUAAGGGAGCUACGUGAUAGGAGAAUGAGAGAAGUUGCCACCAUGUCUCAUAUUUGGCAUUAAGGAAACUCAGAGGUUCAGAUGGUUAUUAUGGACAUUUGAGUAGUACUGGAUGUAGCUUAUGGUGCUAAGAGAAGGAGAUAUGUAUGAAAGAUACAUUUCCACUAAGAGCCAUGGCUGGAUUAGACCUUCCACCUUGAAAAUAGGCUUUAAUAAGUCAUGCUUUAUGAAACUUGUGUGACACUGCUCUUUUCACAGAGUAUGUGGUAAUCAAGGAAACCUCUCCUAGAGCCUCAUCCUGGCAGGCUGUAUACUCCACAGCUCAGACUGUACUCAUAUCCUAAAUGAUAUCCAUAGUAUCUUGUGGGAUGAUGGAAGAGCCAAAACCUAAUGUUCAAACUCAUUCCAUUCAGGUUACUCUCACCGAUCUCAAGCAGCCAUUACUCGGUUUCUGGACUCCCAAAGGCAUUGGUCUUUAGGAAAUUAAUGAAUUUUCUAAAUUGCAUCAAAAAGGUUAGAAGUAGUAGAAACCUGAAAGAAAUCUUUAAAGCAAGACCUCUUCUUUUCUUCCAGGGAAAUCUAUUGUUUCCAGCAACCCAAACCAACCAACCAAACAAUCAAAAAAACUAACUAAACCAAAACCAAAACCAACAAAAACACAAAACAUUAUUCCUGUUCUUGGAUGCUAUAUCUUGUUCUGUGCUUUUGAUGUAUUUUAUUUUCUUCAAAUCAGUGUCUCAACUGUGUAGUGAUGUUCCCUCACUAUAUAACCCUGAUACUUUUGGAGGUAACUGAUAGAACUUUAAGUAGCCAGAAUAUACAGUGCCCAACACAUGGUAAGCAAUAAAUGAGUUUCAGAUGCAGUCACUUCUUCCUCAUCAUCACCAUCUCCAUGGCAUGUUAGUGUUAAGUGCUCACUGAAUAUGUUUGUCUUUCUCAAUGAAGCAGAUAUGUUAUCUUUGUAUUUUUGUCCCCACUGUCUCCAACAUAAAGUUAGUAAUUUGAUUAUUGAAUAAUUGAAACUAUCUUAAUUAGUAAAUCACAGUAUCAACUUCCACAUAAUUGUGUCUUUCAUGCUUUAAAAAUAAUAAGAUUCUGCUACAGUUGCCUUGAGAGUCUGUCUGACCUAGAAGAUCAUAGUCGGAGCUGAAAGAUCAGGAACUGAAGUCUGAGAAAGAUCUUUUCUAUCUCCCAGAACACCUGCUUUACCUUGCAGAGUGUAUGUUAAAAUAUUGUGUUUCAGUUUAGCAUAAAGUGGGCAUAACUAAAGUUGUGUGGACCCAAGAGGAAAGAUUUUAGAGACAAUGGAGUCAGAGCAAUGUAGCCUUUAAAGUUUUAUUCACAUCAAUAAAUGGUGUUUUGUACAUUUGGAUUCUGCUUUUUUUCUCUUAAGGACAGCACUUAGAGGCCGGGUGUGGUGGCGCAUUCCUUUAAUCCCAGCAUUUGGGAGGCACAGGCAGGUGGAUUUCUGAGUUCGAGGCCAGUCUGGUCUACAAAGUGAGUUCCAGGACAGCCAGAAACCCUGUCUUGAAAAACAAACAAACAAACAAAACAGCACUUAGUUAAAUAUUUAUAAAUGUAAAUUAUUAACAAUAACAACAGGUGGUUUCUAUAUUUUUUAUUUACUUAUUAUUAUUUUAGACAGUCUCAUUAUACAGUUUUGGCUGGCUUGGAACUCACUAUGCAAAACAGGAUGGCCUUGAAGCCAAAAGAUCUGUCUUAUUUUGCCUCCCAAGUACUGGGAUUAGACAUAUACCACCAUGCCCAGCAAAGUGAUUUCUUUUCAAAAGAGAAUAUAUGACUGGAGAGAUAUCUCAGUGAUUUCUUAAUUUGUUGCUUUUAGAGAAGACCUAAAUCACUUCUACUUACAUGGUUCACAACUGCCUGUAACUGUAGUUCCAGAGGGAUCUGACACCCUCUUCUGACCUCUGUGGGUACCAGGCAUGCACAUGAUACACAUACUAUAUGUACAUGUAGGCAAAUACCCAUAUACAUAAAAUAAAAACAAAUAAAUCUUUAAAAAGGUAAGAGAACAUAAUGUUCACUAUAAAUGUAAAGAGCUACCAAAUCAGGCAGCUUAUUAAGGAAGUGCUUUGUGGUCUUGAUCAUCUGCUUCCUAAUUAUUAUCAGAAGGGGUAUUUUCAAUGUAUGAUAAGCCAUGACUGCAUUGGCAGAGAAAUUAUUUCUGGCAUACAGAAGAUUUGAAAAAUAAUAAUUUUGAUACUCCAAUUGAUUCUAAGGAUUGCUAUUCAACAAAGUCUAACUCUGCUUUGGAAAUGUUUCAUUUAUCCCUUACUGACAAGCAUAACGAUUACAGAGUACAUGUUCAGGCCUUUUUCCUCCCAUUGUACUUAAAGAAGGGCAGCAUGGACCUGGUUAACUUUAAAAUUGCCUAUCAGGUGGCUCAAUUAAAAUUCACUAGCUUUCUAAAAUUGUCAAUAGAAUUUUAACCCAAGCCUGUAGAUCUAGAAUUUGAGAUGACGUGGCUUUAUAUUUGCACAUAUCUAAACUGUUCACCAAAGAAAAUGCUUUAAGAGUAAUUUUCAAGUCAACUCUCAUUUUUACUUUUUUUAAAAGAUUUUUUUUGCAAAAAUAUUAUGUAUGCAUUUCCAAAUAGCCUCUUGCAUGUUUCUAAUAUUAUGAACCCAGUGCCAGAGAGCAGACUGAUUUCUGAUGGGUUAUAUACCUAUUUUCUUGGAAUUGUUGAUUAACAUAAUAACAAGUUAUAAAAUUUAUUUAAUCUAAUGAGAGUUAUAGUAUGUGAUUUUAAAGUAAUAAAAACAAAACAAAGUGAGCACCAUUAAUAAGGCUGGUUUCCUUCAUCAGUCCUGUUUAUUAAAAUUUUAUUAUAUAAUGAAUCAUCUAAGAUUUCUGCUAGCAAUUCUUUUCAACACAUACAAUCAAUUUCCAGAAAACUGUAAAUAUAAUUUUCUUGUUUAAUUUCUUGUUAAUAAAAUAUUGUUUGGCUUUCUCAAAAUAUCUGUGUUUAACAAUAUUACUAUAUGCCCUGACAAUAAAAUCUAUUUCCUGAAUAUAUUUCAUUUUAGAACAGCAUAUCUGUUUGCUAAUUAAAUAAUCAGCAUUAUGUUCAAGUUCAGGAGUUAGAAUUUUUAAUAUUAAUAGAUUCUGAUUUUAGAGUAAUCAAAACACCAAAUAUGAAUGGCCAUAGGACAUAAUGUACUAUUAAAAUCUUGCUACUAAUUUUAUGUCAUUAGUUUUUUUCUAAGACAUUAAUUAAAAAUUCAGUCUUUUCUAUUGGCAUUAGUCAAGGAAAAAAACACACCC
rnacentral:lncRNA from 1 species